UACAGAGGGUGCUAGCGUUGUUCGGAAUCAUUGGGCGUAAAGGGCGUGUAGGCGGUUUGCUAAGUCAUGUGUGAAAUCCCUCGGCUUAACCGGGGAACGACGCAUGAAACUGGCAAGCUAGAGUACCAAAGAGGGUGGUGGAAUUCCGGGUGUAGUGGUGAAAUGCGUAGAGAUCCGGAGGAACACCAGUGGCGAAAGCGGCCACCUGGACUGUACCUGACGCUGAAACGCGAAAGCUAGGGGAGCGAACGGG
rnacentral:rRNA from 1 species